rnacentral:rRNA from 1 species
UACGUAGGGUGCAAGCGUUGUCCAGAUUUAUUGGGCGUAAAGAGCUCGUAGGCGGUUUGUCGCGUCGGAUGUGAAAACCCAGGGCGCAACCCUGGGCCUGCAUUCGAUACGGGCAGACUAGAGUAUGGCAGGGGAGACUGGAAUUCCUGGUGUAGCGGUGAAAUGCGCAGAUAUCAGGAGGAACACCGGUGGCGAAGGCGGGUCUCUGGGCCAAAACUGACGCUGAGGAGCGAAAGCGUGGGGAGCGAACAGG